rnacentral:misc_RNA from 1 species
UUUUUUUGCUCGAGAAAAGGCAUGCUGCAGAUAAGAAAACCUUGAAACCGACAAACUUGCCUUGGGUUGUUGGCCAUAUCCACGCAAGAUUGAAGUGGUUGUUGAGACGCAAUUGAUUUUCUCCACCAGUUAAAAGCACAGUGAUUUUCAAAUGAGGACCAGUAAGAAAAUCAAUAUGACCAGAAUCACGAGGUGUACUCAAAAGGCUGAGGUGGCUGAGGUUCCUCAUCAACAGCCAUGGCUGAUGCAGA